UACGUAGGCAGCAAGCGUUGUUCGGAGUUACUGGGCGUAAAGGGUGUGUAGGCGGUUCUUUAAGUUUGCUGUGACAUCUCCCUGCUUAACCGGGAGGGUGCGGUGGAUACUGAGGGACUAGAGUACGGGAGAGGAAAGUGGAAUUCCUGGUGUAGCGGUGAAAUGCGUAGAUAUCAGGAGGAACACCGGUGGUGUAGACGGCUUUCUGGACCGUAACUGACGCUGAGACGCGAAAGCGUGGGUAGCAAACAGG
rnacentral:rRNA from 1 species